GUUGCCAGCCCGCUCAGAAACUCAAAGGAAGUUGACGGGGCCCGGCACAAGCGGUGGAGCAUGUGGUUAAUUCGAUGAUACGCGAGGAACCUUACCUGGGCUCAAAUGUAUGUUGACGUAUUCUGAAAGGGAUACUUCUUCGGACAAUAUACAAGGUGCUGCAUGGUUGUCGUCAGCUCGUGCCGUGAGGUGUCGGGUUAAGUCCCAUAACGAGCGCAACCCUAUCAUUAGUUGCCAUCAGGUCAAGCUGGGGACUCUAAUGAAACUGCCUACGCAAGUAGUGAGGAAGGUGGGGAUGACGUCAAGUCAUCAUGGCCCUUACGGCCUGGGCUACACACGUGCUACAAUGGUCGGUACAAAGGGUUGCCAAGCCGCGAGGUGGAGCUAAUCCCAUAAAACCGAUCGUAGUCCGGAUCGCAGUCUGCAACUCGACUGCGUGAAGUCGGAAUCGCUAGUAAUCGUGAAUCAGAAUGUCACGGUGAAUACGUUCCCGGGCCUU
rnacentral:rRNA from 1 species